UACAGAGGGGGCAAGCGUUAUUCGGAAUUAUUGGGCGUAAAGGGCGCGUAGGCGGCCUGUUAAGUCGAAACGUGAAAUCCCCGGGCUCAACCCGGGAACUGCGUCCGAUACUGGCAGGCUUGAAUCCGGGAGAGGGAUGCGGAAUUCCAGGUGUAGCGUGAAAUGCGUUAGAUAUCUGGAGGAACACCGUGGCGAAGGCGCUCCUGGACCGGCAU
rnacentral:rRNA from 1 species